rnacentral:rRNA from 1 species
AUGUCUGGGAAACUGCCUGAUGGAGGGGGAUAACUACUGGAAACGGUAGCUAAUACCGCAUAACGUCGCAAGACCAAAGAGGGGGACCUUCGGGCCUCUUGCCAUCAGAUGUGCCCAGAUGGGAUUAGCUAGUAGGUGGGGUAACGGCUCACCUAGGCGACGAUCCCUAGCUGGUCUGAGAGGAUGACCAGCCACACUGGAACUGAGACACGGUCCAGACUCCUACGGGAGGCAGCAGUGGGGAAUAUUGCACAAUGGGCGCAAGCCUGAUGCAGCCAUGCCGCGUGUAUGAAGAAGGCCUUCGGGUUGUAAAGUACUUUCAGCGGGGAGGAAGGCGAUAAGGUUAAUAACCUUGUC